UACGGAGGGUGCAAGCGUUAUCCGGAUUCACUGGGUUUAAAGGGUGCGUAGGUGGGUUGAUAAGUCAGUGGUGAAAUCUCCGAGCUUAACUUGGAAACUGCCAUUGAUACUAUUAGUCUUGAAUACCGUGGAGGUUAGUGGAAUAUGUCAUGUAGCGGUGAAAUGCUUAGAUAUGACAUAGAACACCCAUUGCGAAGGCAGCUGACUACACGGUGAUUGACACUGAGGCACGAAAGCGUGGGGAUCAAACAGG
rnacentral:rRNA from 1 species